CUCGGGUACGGUGACAUGGUGCCCAACACCAUCGUAGGCAUGCUGGUGACCGCGUUCUGCUGCCUCAGCAGUGUGGUCCUCCUCACGCUGCCGGUCACCGUCAUAGUCUCCAAC
rfam:Branchiostoma floridae genomic scaffold BRAFLscaffold_122, whole genome shotgun sequence.